rnacentral:ncRNA from 1 species
UUGAGCCGGAUGAAAGGAAACUUUCACCUCCGAUUUUGAAAGGGGGGGGGGGAGAUCCUAUAGAAUCCUAUCCCAAU